CGGUAACAGCUCAAAUUUGAAAUCUGGCUCUUCCGGAGUCCGAGUUGUAAUUUGUAGAAGAUGCUUUGGGUGGUGGGUUCGGCCUAAGUUCCUUGGAACAGGACGUCAUAGAGGGUGAGAAUCCCGUAUGUGGCCGAGGCCCGCGCCUAUGUAAAGCUCUUUCAACGAGUCGAGUUGUUUGGGAAUGCAGCUCAAAAUGGGUGGUAAAUUUCAUCUAAAGCUAAAUAUGGGCCAGAGACCGAUAGCGCACAAGUAGAGUGAUCGAAAGAUGAAAAGCACUUUGGAAAGAGAGUUAAACAGUACGUGAAAUUGUUGAAAGGGAAGCGCUUGCAACCAGACUUGGGCGCUGUCGAUCACCCCGAGUUCUCUCGAGUGCACUCGACAGCGCACAGGCCAGCAUCGGUUCGGGUGGCUGGAUAAAGGCCGUAGGAACGUGGCUCCCUUCGGGGAGUGUUAUAGCCUACGGUGCCAUGCAGCCCAGCCGGACCGAGGACCGCGCCUUCGGGCUAGGAUGCUGGCGUAAUGGUUGUAAGCGACCCGUCUUGAAACACGGACCAAGGAGUCUAACAUCUAUGCGAGUGUUUGGGUGGUAAACCCAUACGCGGAA
rnacentral:rRNA from 1 species